rnacentral:rRNA from 1 species
AAUGAACGCUGGUGGCGUGCAUAACACAUGCAAGUCGAACGAGAAAGGGGCUUCGGCCCCGAGUAAAGUGGCGCACGGGUGAGUAACGCGUGGGUAACCUACCCUGGAAUCUGGGAUAACACCGCGAAAGUGGUGCUAAUACCGGGUACGAUCCUCGAGCGGGAGUUCGGGGAUGAGAGCCGGCCUCUUGUUAAAGCUGGUGUUCUGGGAUGGGCUCGCGUCCUAUCAGCUAGUUGGUGGGGUAAUGGCCCACCAAGGCGGCGACGGGUAGCUGGUCUGAGAGGAUGAUCAGCCACACUGGCACUGGAACACGGGCCAGACACCUACGGGUGGCAG